GGAAGAGUGGCAGAGUGGUUGAAUGCGGCGGUCUCGAAAACCGUUAUCCCGAAUUUCGGGAUCGGGGGUUCGAAUCCCUCCUCUUCCGCAA
rnacentral:tRNA from 1 species